CCUACGGGUGGCUGCAGUGGGGAAUAUUGGACAAUGGGGGCAACCCUGAUCCAGCCAUGCCGCGUGUGUGAAGAAGGCCCUCGGGUUGUAAAGCACUUUCAGCGAGGAAGAACGCCUAGCGGUUAAUACCCGCUAGGAAAGACAUCACUCGCAGAAGAAGCACCGGCUAACUCCGUGCCAGCAGCCGCGGUAAUACGGAGGGUGCAAGCGUUAAUCGGAAUUACUGGGCGUAAAGCGCGCGUAGGUGGCUUGAUAAGCCGGUUGUGAAAGCCCCGGGCUCAACCUGGGAACGGCAUCCGGAACUGUCAAGCUAGAGUGCAGGAGAGGAAGGUAGAAUUCCCGGUGUAGCGGUGAAGUGCGUAGAGAUCGGGAGGAAUACCAGUGGCGAAGGCGGCCUUCUGGACUGACACUGACGCUGAGGUGCGAAAGCGUGGGUAGCAAACAGGAUUAGAUACCCUAGUAGUC
rnacentral:rRNA from 1 species